rnacentral:lncRNA from 1 species
CUUAUUUCCGAACUCGACGGAUUUCAAAAAUCCAUAUCCAAAUUCAAAACUGACCAAUUUUUCGAAACCCAAAAUCAAACCUAAACCAGAAGACUAGAAUUCAAACAAUUAUUUCUGUUUACCAUAUUUCAAAGUAUUUAUAUGAAACUUAAAUUUUUAAAAUAUAAAUUUGAAUAUAAUAUUAAAUUUUAAAUUUAAAGUGAAAUUUAAAUUAGAAAAAUUUUAUAUUACUAUUUAAAGUUUAAAUUCAAUGAUCAUAUUAUCAAAUCAUUUGAAAUUUUUCUUAUAUGAAAUGCCAAAUUAUGAAAGGAAAGAUAAGGAGAGCAAAAGGAAAUAAAGAAAAAAUAAAAAUUUUGAAAAUAUAGUAGAUGUAAAAUGACUAAAUUGCCCAUAUAUUAAAAGACAAAAAUAUCCUUUUUUGAGGUUACAAAUUUAAAAAAACUAAAUCUGAGUCGUUGAAUACGCGUGAAUGACCGGUAACCAAAAAAAAAAAAAAGUAUAGAAGCAUUACUCUAAAAAGUGAUGAGAAAAAUAGAAUGCAGGGUGGGAGGCAUGUAGAUCAUAUUUCAUCCCUAGUCUAGCAUCAGGUCAUGUUGCCAUAUAUGGGCUAGAGUUAAUUAGCAUCCUACAGAAUAGAUUCUAUUAGUUUCAGCAGAAAAAGGCUCUGCCUAGUAUUUGAUCAGAGGACGAAAAAAAAAAAAAAGAGUUAAAUUGUACCGUUAGAGCUGUCAAUCAGUGAGCUAGCUUACAUUCGACUCGAAAUUGGUUUGAACUCAGCUCGCUCGAUCAAUAAACAAGUCGAUCACCAGCUCACUUUUGAGAUUGAAAAAUUAAUGAACCAAACAUGUGGUGACCUCGGCUUGCUUAUAAUUGGCUUGACAGAGUUCAAAUAAAUAAAUAAAUAAAUAAUAUAUACAUAUUUAUUUUAGGUCGACACGUUGUAAACUUUUUUUUUUCUUUUUAGUUUUUGUUUUUUGUUAGCAUGACUCUUAGUUCUAAUAUUAAUUAGUAAUACUAAGAGCAAUAGUUAGUUUUAAUAUUUUAUUAAAAUUUAGUUAAAGCAAUUAAACUCAAAAAAUUUUGAGCUUCCUCAAAUUAAUUUCAAACCAAAUUAAAACGAGCUUGAUUAUCCUAGCUUUUUUAAUUUCGAGUCGAAGAUGAACCGACUCAAAUUAUUCACAAGUCAAUCUCGAGCUGCCUCAGCUCUCUCUCUCUCUCUCUCUCUCUCUCUCUCUCUCUCUCUCUCUCUCUCUCUCUCUCUCUCUCUCUCGUGUUCAGCUCGUUGACAGCCCUAAGUGCCACUAGUGCUUGAACUAUAUUUAAUUUUGGCCACUAAUACUUUGGUGCUUGAAAUUUUACAUUUAGCAUUUGACAUCCAAAAUUCCGAAAUUAUAUCACGUUUGCCAUAUCCUUAUUUACUCCUACACCUGAUUGUAAUGGAUUUAGGUUUUCUUUCUGCAAUGACCAUGCGAUAUUCUUUUUUCUUCUCGAAGAUG